GCAAACUUGGUCAUGGCUCCAUAAACCCUAAUCAGGUCAAACUCCUAUUAUGUGGCCUCCUAACCCUAAUUUCAGUUGGCACAUCAUCAUUCAUGAUGCUUGGUCUCCUUGCUUGGUUAAAUUGCAUUCAACAACUUCUUGUUCCUGGUUCAUUCCUGUUGAGUUCUUGGUUGUGUUUCUAUUCAAUAUGCUCAUGACCAUUGAUUCUAGCAUUGGUUCUUG
rnacentral:lncRNA from 1 species